AUAUCGGGGGUGCACUGGCACAGAGGAAAGGCCAUGUGAAGCAAGAAGGCAGCCAUCUGCAAGCCAAGGAGAGAAAUUUCAGAAGGAACCAACCCUACCGACAUCUUGAUCUUGGACUUUAAGCUGCCAGACCUUUUAUACAUUUUCUACAGAAAAUGCACCCCAUCAUUGCUUAUAGCCCACCCACGUGGACUGCUCAUUCUGUGAAUCAUGUUUUACAGAAAUUGCCUUGAUGUUAGGAAUUAAAAAAACAAAACAAAACAAAAAACAUGGAGCCGUAUUCUCCAGAAGCUUACAUCUGAUUUAACGAGACAGCAAUAGGAAGCCAAAGGGUCCCUGCAGAGGAGGGUUGCAGCACGAUAACUCUACAGCUGGACAGAGACAGAUUGCAGGGGAGCAAGAAUGAAUGGCAGGCCAGCUGCCAGAAGCUUCUCACUCCGUGGAGACCUUGGAGUCGAGGAUGAAAUGUCUUACAACUGUGGGGAGACCUUGGCUUUUCCAAAGCCUACCAGGGUCCAGGACUUGGAAGCUAAGGCCCAGAGAGGAGGAGAAACUUGAUCAAAGUCAAUCAGACAAUGCAGAAUCGAGAAAAGUACCUGGACCUCUAUGCCCAUGCUUCUAGCAGCCAGCCUCCUAAAAUACCUCUAGUUGAAGCCAAAGUUAGAAUCCUUCUACGAAACUACAGGAUUAAAAUGGAAUGGUUACAUGACCCAGGCUUGACCAAUCAGAUCAUCCAAACCCUUUGCCACAGUGAUUGGUCCAGGGAUACAUGCAUGAGCCAGCUCAGAGUCUCACUCUGUUGCCCAGGCUGAAGUGCAGUGGCGUGAUCUCGGCUCUGCAGCCUCCACCUCCCAGGUUCAAGUGAUUCUCCUGUCUCAGUCUCCCAAGUAGCCGGGACUACAGGUGCCUGCCAUCACGCCUGGCUGCUUUUUGUAUGUAUAGUACAGACGGGGUUCACCAUGUUGGCCAGGCUGGUCUCAAACUCCUGACCUCAGGUGAUCCACCCACCUCAGCCUCCCAAAAUGCUAGAAUUACGCCUAGUCAUUUAUUUUAAGUUCCCCUCACCAUAACCGAUGCUCCAUGUGAGACAGAUGUUAUUAUUUUGCUCUCUGUUGAGUUCCCAUCACCUGGCAUCUGAAGAUGCUCAGUAGAU
rnacentral:lncRNA from 1 species